GUUUCCGUAGUGUAGUUGUUAUCACAUCUGCAUAACACGCAGAAUAUCCUGGGUUCGAAACACAGUUGAAUUU